CCUACGGGGGGCAGCAGUGAGGAAUAUUGGUCAAUGGACGAGAGUCUGAACCAGCCACGUAGCGUGAAGGAUGACUGCCCUAUGGGUUGUAAACUUCUUUUAUAUGGGAAUAAAAUGUUCCACGUGUGGGAUUUUGUAUGUACCAUAUGAAUACGGAUCGGCUCACUCCGUGCCACCAGCCGCGGUAAUACGGAGGAUCCUGGCGUUAUCCGGAUUUAUUGGGUUUAAAGGUACCGUAGGUGGAUUGUUAAGUCAGUUGUGAAAGUUUUCGGCUCAACCGUAAAAUUGCAGUUGAAACUGGCAGUCUUGAGUACAGUAGAGGUGGGCGGAAUUCGUGGUGUAGCGGUGAAAUGCUUAGAUAUCACGAAGAACUCCGAUUGCGAAGGCAGUUCACUGGACUGCAACUGACACUGAGGCUCGAAAGUGUGGGUAUCAAACAGGAUUAGAUACCCCUGUAGUC
rnacentral:rRNA from 1 species